UACGUAGGGUGCAAGCGUUGUCCGGAAUUAUUGGGCGUAAAGAGCUCGUAGGCGGUCUGUUGCGUCGGCUGUGAAAACCCGGGGCUCAACUCCGGGCCUGCAGCCGAUACGGGCAGACUAGAGUUCGGCAGGGGAGACUGGAAUUCCUGGUGUAGCGGUGAAAUGCGCAGAUAUCAGGAGGAACACCGAUGGCGAAGGCGGGUCUCUGGGCCGAUACUGACGCUGAGGAGCGAAAGCGUGGGGAGCGAACAGG
rnacentral:rRNA from 1 species